CCUACGGGUGGCAGCAGUGAGGAAUAUUGGUCAAUGGACGUAAGUCUGAACCAGCCAAGCCGCGUGAAGGAUGAAGGCUCUAUGAUUUGUAAACUGCUUUUGUACGAGAAUAAUAGUACUUACGUGUGGGGAUUUGCAUGUAUCGUAUGAAUAAGGAUCGGCUAACUCCGUGCCAGCAGCCGCGGUAAUACGGAGGAUUCGAGCGUUAUCCGGAUUUAUUGGGUUUAAAGGGUGCGUAGGAUGUCUUUUAAGUUAGCGGUGAAAUGUUGGGGCUUAACCACGUGCUUGCCGUUGAUACUGGUAGACUAGAGAGUGUAUGAAGUAGGCGGAAUGAGUAGUGUAGCGGUGAAAUGCUUAGAUAUCACUCAGAACACCGAUUGCGCAGGCAGCUUGCUAAUCCGUAUCUGACACUGAUGCACGAAAGCGUGGGUAUCGAACAGGAUUAGAUACCCGUGUAGUC
rnacentral:rRNA from 1 species